UACGUAGGGGGCAAGCGUUGUCCGGAAUCAUUGGGCGUAAAGAGCGUGUAGGCGGAUCUUUAAGUCAGGGGUGAAAUCCCGAGGCUCAACCUCGGAACUGCCUUUGAUACUGGGGAUCUCGAGUCCGGGAGAGGUGAGUGGAACUGCGAGUGUAGAGGUGAAAUUCGUAGAUAUUCGCAAGAACACCAGUGGCGAAGGCGGCUCACUGGCCCGGAACUGACGCUGAGGUGCGAAAGCGUGGGGAGCAAACAGG
rnacentral:rRNA from 1 species